rnacentral:rRNA from 1 species
GACGAACGCUGGCGGCGUGCUUAACACAUGCAAGUCGAACGGAAAGGCCACGGCUUUGUGUGGUACUCGAGUGGCGAACGGGUGAGUAACACGUGGGUGAUCUGCCCUGGACUUCGGGAUAAGCUUGGGAAACUGGGGCUAAUACCGGAUAGGAGUCCCAUGUGCGUGGGGGGUUGGGAAGAGUUUCGGCUGUUGGGGAUGGACGCGAGGUUUAUCAGCUUGGGGGUGGGGUAGUGGCUUACCAAGGCGGUGGCGGGUAGCGGGCCUGGGAGGGUGAACGGCCACAUUGGGACUGAGAUACGGCCCAGACUCCUACGGGAGGCAGCAGUGGGGAAUAUUGCACAAUGGGCGGAAGCCUGAUGCAGCGACGCCGCGUGGGGGAUGACGGCCUUCGGGUUGUAAACCGCUUUCGUCAGUGACGAAGCGAAAGUGACGGUACCUGGAGAAGAAGCACCGGCUAACUACGUG